UACGUAGGGUGCAAGCGUUGUCCGGAAUUAUUGGGCGUAAAGAGCGUGUAGGCGGCCCGACCAGUCCGCUGUGAAAGUCCAGGGCUCAACCCUGGAAUGCCGGUGGAUACUGUCGGGCUAGAGUCCGGAAUGGGCGAGUGGAAUUCCUGGUGUAGCGGUGAAAUGCGUAGAUAUCAUUUGGAACGCCAAUGGCGAAAGCAGGCAACUGGGGCUGUACCGACGCUGAGACACGAAAGCCAGGGGAGCGAACGGG
rnacentral:rRNA from 1 species